AAUGGGAAAAGAAUGUGAAUAGAUAUUUCUCCAAAAAGGAUAUGCAAAUUGCCAAUAAGCACAUAAAAAAUACCCAACAUCAUUAGCCCCCCGAAAAUGCAACUCAAUGUCACAAUGAGCUACACCCUCCAACCAAGAUGACUAUAAUGAAAAAGGCAACAAAAUUGCUGGUAGAAAUGUAAAAUGGUGCAGCCACUUUGGAAAACAAUUUGGGCAGAGCUCCUCAAGAUGUUAAAUACAUUAAUAUGACCCAGCAAUUCCACUCCUAGCUAUAUACCCAAAAGAACUGAAAACACAUGUUCGUUAAAAAACAAACAAAAAAUCUGUUCCUGAAUGUUGAGAGCAGUAUGGACAAUCACCAAAAAGUGUCCAUCAACUGAUGAAUAAAAGACUAUGUAGCAUACAAGGGAAUAUACCAAACCAUUGAAAGAAAUCAAAUACAAAUAUUAUAACAUGGAUAAAACUUUUUUUUUUUUUUAAGUAAGCUCUACACUCAACAUGGGACUUGAACUCACAACCCUGAGAUCAAGAGCUGCAUGCUCUACCUACCAAUACAGGUGGCCCCAACACAGAUAAAUCUUAAAAACACUGUGCUAAGUGAAAUAAGUCAGACAAAAAAGUCACAUGUUAUAUGAUUCUAUUUAUGAGACAUUUCCA